AAGACUGUAUUUUCAGGGAUCGUUUCUAUAGUUUGUUACUGGAGAAGUUUCUCUGAACUGUCUAGAGCCUCAGAAACCACGAGGAAGAUGCAGUGUUCUCUCUCAAGUGUGAAGCCGGGUCUUGGUGUUGCUUCUGCAACUGCCAUUUGUCAUCCAUAAUUGUCCUUCUCUUCCUUCGGGAGAGCGAGAGGGAGAGGAUGGUGCAGAGUGGU
rnacentral:snoRNA from 1 species